GACGAACGCUGGCGGCGUGCUUAACACAUGCAAGUCGAACGGAAAGGCCCUGCUUGCAGGGUACUCGAGUGGCGAACGGGUGAGUAACACGUGGGUGAUCUGCCCUGCACUUCGGGAUAAGCCUGGGAAACUGGGUCUAAUACCGGAUAGGAGCCAUUUUUAGUGUGAUGGUUGGAAAGUUUUUUCGGUGUAGGAUGAGCUCGCGGCCUAUCAGCUUGUUGGUGGGGUAAUGGCCUACCAAGGCGGCGACGGGUAGCCGGCCCGAGAGGGUGGACGGCCACAUUGGGACUGGGAGACGGGCCCGACUCCUACGGGAGGCAGCAGUGGGGAAUAUUGCACAAUGGGCGCCAGCCUGAUGCAGCGACGCCGCGUGGGGGAUGACGGCCUUCGGGUUGUAAACUCCUUUCGCUAGGGACGAAGCUUUUUGUGACGGUACCUAGAUAAGAAGCACCGGCUAACUACGUG
rnacentral:rRNA from 1 species